ensembl:misc_RNA Metazoa_SRP Metazoan signal recognition particle RNA
GCCAGGCAUGGUGGUGCAUGCCUGUAGUCCCAGCUACUUGGGAGACUGAGGUGGGAGGAUCACUUGAGCCAGGGAGGUCAAGGCUGCAGUGAGCUAUGAUCAUACCACUGCACUCUAGCCUGGACAACAUAGUGAAACCCCAUCUCCA